rnacentral:lncRNA from 1 species
GCUUCCUACAUACUGUCUGUGUUUCUGGCUUCUCUCAGAAUUCAGAAGACCAGCCUCUGUGCCCAUGAGGCCAGUAGGUGGUGCCUCCUACAGUGUGAAUGCAAGCUUUGCCUCCUGGCCAGUGUAGUUCCCACCAAGAUCGAUUUCGUGUGCCGAUUCCAUUGUCUACUGGGCUCUAGAGCAUUUACGUUUGUGGCCCUCGAUAAGACAUGGAGCCCAGAAGAAAGAUUUUGCUAUCCGCCAUGGUGACAGGUGUCUGUCAAUCACAUAUCAGUUGGAUCUGCUGAAGAGCAAGGUUCUCAUCCAUGCAUAAGAGUUCUGCAACAGAGGCAGGUGAAAUGAGUUUGUCCUACAGGAUUGCAUUUCCUUUUCUGAUAAGGAAUUGAAGAUGUAAGAAAUGAAGGAAUGAAACAUGUAAGAAAAGCACAAAUGGAAGAAACAUAUCCUAGCCUCUGAUGCAGCCCUUUCUCUCAUGUGGUAUCCAGUUUCUUAAAAGAUUUUGUUUUGUUUUGCUUUUGUUUUCUCAAUAAUGGGAAAUGAACUCAGAGCAUGGUCAGGUUAGAUGGUUGCUCAUUCACUGAGCUACAGGUCCGGUCCCUGUUUCUUCCCCUGAAUGAUGGACAUAGACCAUCAUACAUGGUAGAUCCCAGAACUUUUAAACCAAACCAUUGCUUUUGCAUAGGACUCUUUUGACUUUCCCCUCACCACACCCUCAGGAGCCCCAGUCUCUUCCUGGUCUUCAUCCUUCAGAUUUCUAUAUGCACAUCUCUAGCCCUGUUCUUCACCUUGAUGAUGUGUGGCUAUCAUCACACAUCACCUCAUCCUGCAUGCAUUCAUCAGCAGGAUUUAUAGAAAGUAGUGGGCAUAAAAUGUUUUUAGAGUUUUUGAGUGUGGGUCUAUACUUGAGACUUUAUUUUCCUCAUCUACACAAUAAGAUCAUAUUACCUAACACCUCAAAGUCUGGAAUACUCUGAAUACUCACUGUGAGCUUUUAUUAUUUAUUAAAUACCAACUAUUUGCCAGGCUUUGUGCUAGACCUUAGAAAU